AUUGAACGCUGGCGGCAGGCCUAACACAUGCAAGUCGAGCGGAUGAAGGGAACUUGCUCCUGGAUUCAGCGGCGGACGGGUGAGUAAUGCCUAGGAAUCUGCCUGGUAGUGGGGGCUAACGUCCGGAAACGGGAGCUAAUACCGCAUACGUCCUGAGGGUGAACGUGGGGGAUCUUCGGACCUCACGCUAUCAGAUGAGCCUAGGUCGGAUUAGCUAGUUGGUGUGGUAAAGGCCUACCAAGGCGACGAUCCGUAACUGGUCUGAGAGGAUGAUCAGUCACACUGGAACUGAGACACGGUCCAGACUCCUACGGGAGGCAGCAGUGGGGAAUAUUGGGCAAUGGGCGAAAGCCUGAUCCAGCCAUGCCGCGUGUGUGAAGAAGGUCUUCGGAUUGUAAAGCACUUUAAGUUGGGAGGAAGGGCAGUAAGUUAAUACCUUGCUGUUUUGACGGUACCAACAGAAUAAGCACCGGCUAACUUCGUG
rnacentral:rRNA from 1 species